UUUCUGGCUUCCCGAAUCCGUUCAGCAUCUUCUCAUCUGGUUCAGGAUCAUCUGAAAGCGGAUCUGAAUCAUCCGGUGGUGGAUCGGGAUCAUCUGGUGGCGGAAUCUUCAGUCUUCCAGGAGAGGU